UGGGGAGUACGACCGCAAGGUUGAAACUCAAAGGAAUUGACGGGGGCCCGCACAAGCGGUGGAGCAUGUGGUUUAAUUCGAAGCAACGCGAAGAACCUUACCAGGUCUUGACAUACUCGUGCUAUCCUUAGAGAUAAGGAGUUCCUUCGGGACACGGGAUACAGGUGGUGUAUGGUUGUCGUCAGCUCGUGUCGUGAGAUGUUGGGUUAAGUCCCGCAACGAGCGCAACCCUUAUUACUAGUUGCCAUCAUUAAGUUGGGCACUCUAGUGAGACUGCCGGUGAUAAACCGGAGGAAGGUGGGGAUGACGUCAAAUCAUCAUGCCCCUUAUGACCUGGGCUACACACGUGCUACAAUGGAUGGUACAACGAGUCGCCAACCCGCGAGGGUGCGCUAAUCUCUUAAAACCAUUCUCAGUUCGGAUUGCAGGCUGCAACUCGCCUGCAUGAAGUCGGAAUCGCUAGUAAUCGCGGAUCAGCACGCCGCGGUGAAUACGUUCCCGGGCCUUGUACACACCGCCCGUCACACCACGGAAGUUGGGAGUACCCAAAGUAGGUUGCCUAACCGCAAGGAGGGCGCUUCCUAAGGUAAGACCGAUGACUGGGGUGAAGUCGUAACAAGGUAACCAAGGGCGAAUUCGCGGC
rnacentral:rRNA from 1 species